rnacentral:rRNA from 1 species
UAUUGGAGCGGUUAGUGGCGGACUGGUGAGUAACACGUAAGCAACCUGCCUAUUAGAGGGGAACAACAGUUAGAAAUGACUGCUAAUACCGCAUAUGCCAUAAAUAUCACAUGAUGAAAGUGGGAAAGGAGUAAUCCGCUGAUAGAUGGGCUCGCGUCUGAUUAGAUAGUUGGUGGGGUAACGGCCUACCAAGUCGACGAUCAGUAGCCGAGCUGAGAGGCUGGCCGGCCACAUUGGGACUGAGAUACGGCCCAGACUCC